GACGGAAGGUGCAAGCGUUGCUCGGAAUCACUGGGCGUAAAGGGUGCGUAGGCGGCCGUGCAAGUCUGGCGUGAAAGCCCCGGGCUCAGCCCGGGAAGUGCGCUCGAAACUGCGCGGCUCGAGUGCCGGAGGGGAGAGUGGAAUUCCUGGUGUAGCGGUGAAAUGCGUAGAUAUCAGGAGGAAUACCGGUGGCGAAAGCGGGUUGCUGGGCUGACACUGACGCUGAAGUGCGAAAGCUAGGGGAGCGAACGGG
rnacentral:rRNA from 1 species